rnacentral:rRNA from 1 species
UACGGGGGGGGCAAGCGUUGUUCGGAAUCAUUGGGCGUAAAGCGCACGUAGGCGGCUUCGCAAGUCGGAUGUGAAAUCCCUAGGCUCAACCAAGGACGUGCAUCCGAAACUGCAGAGCUUGAGUACAGAAGAGGAUCGCGGAAUUCCCGGUGUAGAGGUGAAAUUCGUAGAUAUCGGGAGGAACACCAGUGGCGAAGGCGGCGAUCUGGGCUGAUACUGACGCUGAGGUGCGAAAGCGUGGGGAGCAAACAGG